ensembl:lincRNA
CUGGCCUAGUGAGCUUGCGGGUGGAGAUUUUCCUUUCCUUUCACAGGAGACAGGUGAAUUCUCAUUUCUCUUUGUGCGUGCCCACAUUGUGAGCUGUUUUGGUGGAAGGAGGGGAAGAAAAUUUGGCCUCACAGAGAUGUAGUCGGAGAGAGAGGCUCUCUUGGACACCCUGAAAAGGCCUCAGGAACUCCAGGGGUCCUCAGCCAGGACUUUGAGAACCCAUGUUCUAGAGGCAGAAGGCAUUUGCCAGCCUGAUUUGGGGGUUGGCCAAUGGAAAGUGGGUGGAGGGGACAGUGCAGCUCUGGGCCCUCUUACAACUGUGUCACCACCGGGAUACACAUGCCUGAAGCCAGAAGAGAGACAUGAAGCCAGAAGAGAGACCUGAAGCCAGAAGAGAGACGUGAAGCCUGGCAGCUCCUAACCGCAGGCCCAGAGCCCCUCAGCGGAGGCCAGCCCACCGCAGGCCCAGAGCCCCUCAGCAGGGGCCAGCCCAGCCAGGGACGCGAGUGAGAAAUGCUGCUUCUCACCAACCUCAGGGGCAAUUCUGUGACGCCACAAAAGCCGACAACAAAAAGACAGGAGUGUGUGCCAUACACAAGCAGCCCAAACCGUGUACCAUGGCUGUCUGGACUGAAGACCCUCAGCCCAGGUCAAUGAAAGCAGAAGGCCAGGCUGUGCAGACACAUGGGACUGGGGAGGAAGCCGGAGGAAACCCCGAAGGCUCCAGAGCCCUUCAGCCCCUGCCACCAGCGGGUCCCCUGGAACCUUCCAUUCUCCUCAUCACUUCUUUGUGACUUGAGUUUGGUUUCUGUAAUAAAAAAAAAAUCUAAACUUGGCUGAAAUCUCACCUACUGCUGUAUCAAGGACUGACUUUUGGUUGC